rnacentral:rRNA from 1 species
GACGUAGGGCGCGAGCGUUGUCCGGAUUUAUUGGGCGUAAAGAGCUCGUAGGCGGCUUGUUGCGUCGACUGUGAAAACCCGCGGCUUAACUGCGGGCUUGCAGUUGAUACGGGCAGGCUAGAGUUCGGUAGGGGAGACUGGAAUUCCUGGUGUAGCGGUGAAAUGCGCAGAUAUCAGGAGGAACACCGGUGGCGAAGGCGGGUCUCUGGGCCGAUACUGACGCUGAGGCGCGAAAGCGUGGGGAGCGAACAGG